rnacentral:sRNA from 1 species
AGGGCAACGGGAUCCACCCCGCGGGUGACCACGAGGUAAUCGCGCAACGCGAUGCUGUGGCGGCCCUC